rnacentral:rRNA from 1 species
UACGAAGGGGGCUAGCGUUGCUCGGAAUCACUGGGCGUAAAGCGCACGUAGGCGGAUUGUUAAGUCAGGGGUGAAAUCCUGGAGCUCAACUCCAGAACUGCCUUUGAUACUGGCGAUCUUGAGUCCGGGAGAGGUGAGUGGAACUGCGAGUGUAGAGGUGAAAUUCGUAGAUAUCAGGAGGAACACCGGUGGCGAAGGCGGGUCUCUGGGCCGAUACUGGCGCUGAGGAGCGAAAGCGUGGGGAGCGAACAGG